rnacentral:rRNA from 1 species
UUAGCCCUAAACCUUAGUAGUUAAAACAACAAAACUACUCGCCAGAAUACUACAAGCAACAGCUUGAAACUCAAAGGACUUGGCGGUGCUUCAUACCCCCUAGAGGAGCCUGUCCCAUAAUCGAUAAACCCCGUUCCACCCUACCCUCUCUUGCUCAGCCUAUAUACCGCCAUCUUCAGCAAACCCUGACAAAGGCCACAAAGUGAGCGCAAAUGCCCCUCCUCGCAAAAACGUUAGGUCAAGGUGUAGCCCAUGAAAUGGUAAAAGAUGGGCUACAUUUUCUACCCCAGAAAAAUCCACGAUAACUCCUAUGAAACCUAGGAGUCCAAGGAGGAUUUAGCAGUAA